CCCGUGCUCUGGUAGGCACUGAACUGGCUAGUAAAUGUCAACACUGAGGAAGCCUGGGCUGCUUUUGAAACUGCCUCAUGUCAGUGCUUGCGUUUUCAGUCCUGAGAUACUCAUGUGUUCAAAUUAGACUUGUUGACCAAGUUAGGUGAAAAGGCACAGACGCCUUGUGCAACUGUGGGCAAGAUCAGCCAGCACAGACCUGUGCGAAUUGCACUCACACAUCCUCACGAACACCCUGGGACGUUCCCCGUGCUGAAAUCUGUGUUGCCUGAGCAAAUUGCUGUCCUGUGCUCAGAAAAUAAGCGACAACAGGAAUAACAGCAGGAGGUCUCUGGGAUCACGCACUCCGAGCUGAAUAACAGAAGAACUGAAGUGACCCAUGAACUCAAGGCCAGCAGCGAGCGAUGCUGACGGCGGUGAGGUGAUGGUGAUGCAGCAGGAAACACGGGGCAGACUGUUCCACCAUCAGCAGCAGGUACACCUGAGUCUGGCAGACAAAACAAGCAGACUGAGCCGCCCAGUGCAUCUCCCGAGGGUUCAGGAAGA
rnacentral:lncRNA from 1 species